rnacentral:lncRNA from 1 species
GGAAACAAAAUCAAAGACUGGAUAGAGGCUGUUUCCCCUGCAAAACUCCCCCCCACACACACACACACACCCUCACCGUUUCCGCCCGUCUGUAUUCACCAGAAACCAGAGAUCACAAGCAGAGGACAAGCACAGAAUAAAAUAACACUGUGGACCUGUGGACUCUUCAAAGGACCGGCGUUCUCUGAGCGUGGCUGCAAUUCAGUGGCGAGGAGUUUUCCUUGCAGAGCAAAAUGGGCCGGAAGCCAGUUUACGAGGAGCGAGGGGGCGAAUCCAUCCCUGUGGUGUGAAGCGACAUACUGGUCUUUGUUUUCAGGUGCCUUUUGGGGCAGAGGAGGCGAAAAGAAGAGCACUGAUUUGAAGCCCGAAUCUGCAUUGGUAGCGUCCCUCCUGCCAAGUUUUAUUCCGGUUAUCAGAAGAUCACAGCUCUGGCUUUUUUAAAAGUUUCUUUGGGUGGAGUGAUAAGACGAACCCCAGAUGCAAGGAGGGAAGAGCACAGAAGGAAGGGGAAGAAGAAUGCCUUCUUAGCGAUUCUGCUUCUUCCUCGCCAACACAAUACGGCCGNCUGAAUAGCGAAUUUCUCUUGCCAGCUCCAGCAGACAAACUCUUUUGCUAUGCAAAGUCUUUGGAGCUGAAAUUGGCAUCUAGAGAAGAAGAGGCCGGUUAAAACUCUUGCUUUGUUACACUAAAGUCAGCUC